AAUGAACGUUGGCGGCGUGGAUUAGGCAUGCAAGUCGCGCGACAAGGAACCUUCGGGUUCUGGAGGAGCGGCAAACGGGGUAGUAAGGCAUCGGAACGUACCCUCUUGUUGGGAAUAGCCGCGGGAAACUGCGAGUAAUGCCCAAUAAUCCCUACGGGGCAAAGGUCCGCCGCAGGAGGAGCGGCCGAUGUGAUACCAGCUAGUUGGUGAGGUAAUGGCUCACCAAGGCUUAGACGUCUAGGGGGUGUGAGAGCAUGGCCCCCACCACUGGGACUGAGAUACUGCCCACGACACCUACGGGUGGCUGCAGUCGAGAAUCUUCGGCAAUGGGCGCAAGCCUGACCGAGCAACGCCGCGUGCGGGAGUGAA
rnacentral:rRNA from 1 species